UUAUUUAUUCCAAGUCUUAACUGAGUUACGGUAUACAAAGGUGUGGUAAACAGGUGCGGUGUUUGUUUACUUACAUCACUUAGAAUACAUUUUUAUUGUAUGUAUUAGUCUUAACAUAAUUUUCUUCGUUAAAAAUGGAUUAAUUCAGUACAAACAUAAUGAAUUUGUGUUUACUAGCCACAAAACCUUUUGUUAAAAAACUGUGUCUUUAUUUAAUAAUUUAUUUUUUAGAAUUCUUGUAGAGUAUGUUUUUCUUAAAUCAUUAACUUAUCAUAAUUUAAUCACCCAUACUUUGCUACUGUCUAUGAUUCGAACGCAUUAUGUUAUGAAAACACACUUGUUCAUAUUUGUUAGGAGUAUACUUGGGAAACAACUCCGAUUAGAAACUGCUUCAAAAAUAUGAGUACGUUGAUAAAGGGCAAAUUUAUGUCCGUAUUUUUAGCGAAUUUUCUAGUUUGAAAAUUUUAUUAUUUCAGCCAAGGAUACGUAUGUCACUCUCGACACGUGCAUUGUAACACUAAUAAUAAAACACGGGGGUGUACCGAUAUUGAGAUUUCAUCUACAAUAAUACAAUGACUUUUCGUAAAUGAAGUAAGCUUGCAUAACAUUAUUAUUAGCGGAUUUUGGGAUGUUUAUUCACAUAAUAAAUAAUUACUUGUUCAUGCACCUUAUUAAUUUUUUGCACCAACGAUCUUUGAACAUUGUUUGCGUCAUUAAAUAAAAAAAAAUUCAUGUAAUAAUGAUGGCUUAGUCAUAACCAGCUUUGUGUGUCUAGUGCAAACGCUAUAUCAUUCAUGUGACGUACAAUACUUUGUGUUUUGUGUAAAGUCAUAAAGCUACGUAAAUACAACGCUGUAAAUCUUGCUUUAAGGUGUGCAAAUAUCAAAUCUAGAAAUAAAUACUAACCGCCACUUCUUCUAGUGAUCUAGUGAGUUCUUGUGGUACGGUGUAAAUAGAGACAGUGCUUCAAACAAUAAGUUUGCUCAAAAUUAGUGAUCGGAAUUACUGUCAGCUGUUAGGGGAGAUAAUAAAUUUCCAGAUAAAAAUGUGUGCAGAGAUUGCCCGAAAAUGAAAACGAGGGAAAACCUUCCUGCUUAUCGAUUUAAUUACAAAGAUAAAACGGACCGUCAUUUUAUUUAGCUCGAGAAGAAAAUUUUGUGCAUACAGGAUGCAUUUUCGUGGAUUGUAUUUACUUUUAUUUUUAAUGUUCUUUACUUGUGAAAGUUCGAGUGAAUGGAUAAGUUUCCACGAGUAUUUUUGCGUUCAUGAUAAAUCUGUAGAUGCAGCUAAUGUCAUACGAACCAAAGCAAAUUGUGAUUCCAAGACUGUUCAAAUAAUUCCAGGAGACUGUCGGCCUGUUUACACCCAGAGAUAAACUUCGGUGUCUCUCAACAUAGGAGUAAAUUAUCACAAACCUAGGUUAAGGAAAUCCGUUUCAACGUGUCCGCUUCCAGAAAGUUAACAAAAAAUCUUUAUUAAAUAAGUCAUGUGUCACUUUUCUUUAAGUCUUUUGAAAUAGUGACGUCACAGUUUGUAAUAUAUAGCCUUUUUUAUUAAAUGAAACAAUAAAAUAAAAAUAAUAAAAAAUGGUCCUUCCAUAUUUUUUGCAUUUUAAUUUAAAGCCACUUUUGUACCUUCGGAAUUCACCACUUUGCCUUUGAAGGCAUUCCGUUUUUUAAAAAACACAACGUAGGUUCUCCAUUUUGUGGAUCACAGUUCAUGGCCAACAUUUAGUUUUUGCGGGUUUCAUCUACUUUGUAGGCAUAUCUCGGUUUUGGUGAAAGGUUAGGUUAUCACAACGCCUUUGUUUUUUUAAACUUAUCAAAGAAUUUUUGUGCGCAUGUACAUCUGCUUAAAAUAAGUCUUGAUUUUGCAUAUUAUUAUUUCUACCAUGCGGUUGACAAUUGUGUUUGUGUUGUUGUUACUAGUGACCAUGGCUUUAGCACGUCCAAAGAGGCCAACUGAAGCUUCUUCGCUAAAGUCCUUUCUGAGUUAUAAAACACGCAAUGUUCGCGAAAUUCUUCCUAAAAGAAAAAAAAUCUGUCCAGAAGACUACAUAGAGAUAAUACCAGGAGAGUGUCGACCCAUUUUUAAAGGGUAAGAAUUUGACAAGUCUAAAUUAAGAAAAUUCGUCUCAAGUUGCAUACCACCAGGAAGUCAACACACAAAAUUUUGUGUUCAUCUCUAUUAUAAUGUUAAGGUAUAUAUUAGAAUGUUGCAGUGUAAUCAAUAGUGAAGUACAUUUCUUUCUUGUUCAGUUUUAGUAGUUGUUGAACAGACCUGAGAUUAUGCUUAGUAUAGUAUGUAGAUUACAUGUUACGAAAAUAAAUAUUGGUUAUUGUAAUGUACAUAUUAAUAAGAAUUAUUUUGUACCAAUUUUUUUAAACUGUACUUUUGUAACAUAAAAAAUAAAUAAAAUAAAUGUAGGCGUCAUUUGCCACAUUGAAUUUUAGUCUUGUCUGUUUGGUCCAUGGCAUACAGCGAAGUUUGUAAACUGUUAAUUUUCGUACCCUGACAAAACAAACUGUCAACUAAUGAAAAUAAGCGAAAAAACAAUUGCAGUCCAAGGCAGAAAUUUAAAUUUUCGCGCGUUUCAUAGGUGUGCAUGUCUUAAUUUUUCGGAAAGUUACCAGUACACUUAUCAAAGAAGUUUUGUGCCCAUGAACACAUAUGCCAGAACAAAUCUUUUUUGAUAUUGUCAAUUAUUUUUGACCGUGGGGCUCAGAAUUGUCCCUCAGUUAAAAAACACGUAAUGUCCGUUGUAACAGUAUUGCCGGUGUUGGGGUAAUCAACUCUUGUGAAAUCUUGGCUCUUGGAACAAAGUUGCUUAGAGUUGUGUCAGAGGUCACAUUUGAUAAAAUUAGUCGCCUUUAUCAAUAUGGCUCUUUAUUGUCGUUUAGUCUAUUUACGCAUUUACUAUGACUGGCUGCAUAGUGUUCGUUUUGUUGCUUCUGUCAAUUGGAAAUGAACAGACUGAAGCAGCAUUGUCGAUAAAGUUUGACAAUUACUUUGGAGCUAAAAAUACCACAAAUCCAAAUGGGACAAACACCGCCAGUAUUAUUACAACACCUUGUCAAGGUGGUUAUGUCCGAAUUAACAACGUUUGCAAGAGUACUUGGUAGGGGUUAAGACUUGACCAACCUGGAUUAAGAAAUUCGUAUCAAGCUGCACACUGUUUUUAAUUUCUAUUAUAAUGUUAACACAUGCUCUAUAUUCUAUGUCAAUUUGGAAAUAAACGAAAAAAAAAUGUUCCCUCCAUAUUCUUGCAUUUCACACAACGUAGGUUCUUCCUCAGUCUUCUUAACUCUUGAUAGGGAAAUCUUGUCUCUUGAGUUGUCAGAGGGUAGAUUUGACUAUCCAGUCUUCUGGCUAUACACUUAUACAGGGUUAAUGUGGAUAAAGUUUGACGAUGCAGGAGGAUUUUUGGUGGGUGUAUUUUUCUUCUUUCAGUUUCGAAAAUUUGGCAAAACUAGGUUAAGAAAUUCCUCUCAACCCUUCCACUACCAGAAAGUUUCAAACUGGGGUCCAUCUGAAAGCCAACACACAAAAACUUUUGUCAAAACAACCACAAUUCAUAUUUUUUACAGAUAAUGUCUGCACAUUCUCCAUACUCAUUAUUUGAACAAAGUACGGUGCUUAAGUACAUUUCAUGUGAAAAAAAUUUGCUAGUUAUUAGGUUUUCUUAUUUAGUUUAAGCACAAAAUUUGUUGUAUCUAUUUCUUGGUUUGUCUUUUAAAGUAACAAAUGUACUGAUAUCUUGGCGUUGUUUAAAUUUUAAUCACACGUCACAUUUGAUAAAAUAAGUUGACUUUAUCGAACGUGCAUGUUUACCGUCACUUAGUUUACUCACAUAUUUACUAUGACUGGCUCUAUAGUGUUCGUUUUGUUGCUUCUGUCAAUUUUAAAUGCACAGACUGAAGCAACAAUGUGGAUAAGUUUUGACGAUUACCUUGGAAUUAAAAACAACAAGGAUUUGUCAAAUACGGCCAACAUCGUUAGAGCACGUUGUAGAGUGGGUUUUGCCCGCGUUGGCCACAAUUGUUUGAAGGUGUUUGUAUUUGGUUCGACAGCUCCAGAUUAAAAAAAUCGUCUCAAUGUGUCCAAUACUAGAAAGUCAACGACAAAACUUUUUGUUAAGCAAGGUGAAGUACGAAAUAUUAGAGUUUUUGGUAUAUAUAUUUUCUGUUUCACGAAGCCAAUUUUUAUAAUAAAAUAUCUGUAGUUAUUGCAUUGUGUUAUUUUAAGAAGUAUUUUGAAUUUUCAUGAAUUUUGGGAAUUUUAUAAAAUGAGGUGGUGUUUCAGAAAAAAAAUUAAGGCGUGAAUCAAGUUCCAGGUAAAAAGGUGUGCAAGGAUUGCCAGAAAAAUGAAAACAAAGAGAAAACCUUCCUACUUAUCGGAUUGUAUCAAAAAGAUAAAACGAAUAGUUGUUCUAUCUUAACUCGUCACGAGAAAAAGUACCGUGUAUUCAGAAUGAAUUUGUGUGGACUCUACUUACUUUUAGUUUUAAUGUUCUUUAGUAGUGAAAGUUCGAGUGACUGGAUAAAUUUCCGCCAGUUUUUUACCAUUCAUGACAACUUUGUUAAUGCAGCUAAUGUAAUACGCGCCAAAGCAAACUGUGAAUCUAAGACCGUUCAAAUAAUUCCAGGGGAUUGUCGACCUAUUUAUGCCUAGAAGAACGAUACACCCACAUGAGGAGGAAAAGAAAAUGUGAAUAACACGUCAAGUACCUUACCCAACGAUAUUUUUUGAGUCGACUUUUUUUUGUCUAAUAAAACUUUAAUAAUAAUUUAUAGGGUUUUAUUGCCGCAUUUAUGAUUAUUUUAGUUUUGUGUGUACACAGGAGAUAAUUUAGUAAAAAAUUACAGCGAAUAAUAUUGUCUUUGAACGGUUCGUAAACAAAGUUAUUUUUUAUUUUUGAGCGACUUUUAAACGUAUAAAUAAAUAUGAGGAAAUAAGUUUUUUGUAAAACGUGAUGACAAGCAUGUCACUGCUCCCUUUUUUCGACUUCUUUGACCCAUAACAGUUUUGCAUAAGAUAGUAAAUAUUGAGUUUCACGAAUUUUAUCAACAUUGCGAAAUAUGGUCAAUGAGAAGUAAACUUUAUAAGAUAAAAUCGUUAAUAUGAUGCAAAUUUUAUUUACGGAGUCGUACGGAAAUUAACAACAUUCAUAAUUCGCUGAUUUCGCUAAAAAAUAUGGUGAAUGCUGUUGGAAAAAAAUAGUUCCUAAGCUUUUUUUGUUAUCUAAGAGUGGGAGAUUGUUAUGUGGUUGUACCUCUUCUCACUCAUUUGUUUGAAUUCAUUCUUAUCUGAUAAGGCUCUUUAUAAAACCGAAGUUUCUGUUCUGCAAAUCAUUUUACCAUGCGGUUUAAAAUUGUCUUUAUAUUGCUGUUAUUUAUAACAGUGGCUUUCGGGCUUCCAAAGAAGCCACUGAAAGCUUCUUCGGUGCAGCCCACUGGUAAUAAACAAACACACCAUUUAGUCAACGUCAAAUGUCAAGAAGGUUUUAUUAGAGUAAAAGACAGGUGUCUUGAAAUAUUUUCGCAGUAUUCUAGAUGAGCAGCAGAAGAAACUGAUUAUGGAGGGAAAAUUUAUCCAGUAUAGUGACUUAAGUGUGUUUUCCUGGACUGAAUAUUAAGGAUCUUUGACCAAAAAUAUUAACAAAUAUCACUGUCUCUAUGUUGUAAUGUACGUUUUGUAUUUUGGUAUAAUAAAAUUUUAAUAAGG